rnacentral:rRNA from 1 species
UACGUAGGGUGCGAGCGUUAAUCGGAAUUACUGGGCGUAAAGCGUGCGCAGGCGGUUUUGUAAGCCAGAUGUGAAAUCCCCGGGCUUAACCUGGGAAUGGCAUUUGGGACUGCAAGGCUGGAGUGUGGCAGAGGAGACUGGAAUUCCCGGUGUAGCAGUGAAAUGCGUAGAUAUCGGGAGGAAUACCGAUGGCGAAGGCAGGUCUCUGGGCUGACACUGACGCUCAUGCACGAAAGCGUGGGGAGCAAACGGG